CAAAGGCUUGGUCCUGACUUUACUAUCAGCUUUAACCAAACUUAUACAUGCAAGUAUCCGCGCCCCCGUGAGAAUGCCCUCAGCUUCCUGCCCGGAAGCAAGGAGCUGGUAUCAGGCACAAUCCGUGUGGCCCAAGACGCCUUGCUCAGCCACACCCCCAAGGGAACUCAGCAGUAGUAGACAUUAAACCAUAAGCGCAAGCUUGACUUAGUUAGGGCUAACAGGGCCGGUAAAACUCGUGCCAGCCACCGCGGUUAUACGAGCGGCUCAAGUUGAUUAUACCCGGCGUAAAAGGUGGCUAGGGUAACUAAACAUAGGGCCGAACCCCCUCUAAGCCGUUAUACGCACACGAAGGCAUGAAGCACCAACACGAAAGUAGCCCUACCCCUCCCCGAACCCACGAAAGCCACAAAACAAACUGGGAUUAGAUACCCCACUAUGUGUGGCCCUAAACUUUGAUAGAAUAACACACCCCCUAUCCGCCAGGGGACUACAAGCACCAGCUUAAAACCCAAAGGACUUGGCGGUGCUUUAGACCCCCCUAGAGGAGCCUGUUCUAAAACCGAUACUCCCCGUUGAACCUCACCACCUUUUGUUAACCCCGCCUAUAUACCACCGCCGUCAGCUUACCCUGUGAAGGCCCCAUAGUAAGCAAAAUUGGCAAACCCCAAAACGUCAGGUCGAGGUGUAGCGUAUGAGGUGGGAAGAAAUGGGCUACAUUCUUUCAAACCAGAGAACACGAACAGUGGGCUGAAAUCGCCCGCUUAAAGGAGGAUUUAGCAGUAAGUAAAAACAGAGUGUUUUACUGAAACCGGCCCUAAAGCGCGCACACACCGCCCGUCACUCUCUCCAAGCGCAGGAAAAAAAAGUAAAUAAACACAAAACUGACCCAAGGAGAGGCAAGUCGUAACAUGGUAAGCGUACCGGAAGGUGCGCUUGGAAAAAC
rnacentral:ncRNA from 1 species